rnacentral:tRNA from 1 species
GGGGUUGUGGCUCAGUGGUAGAGCACCGCCUAGCAUGUGUGAGGCACUGGGUUCAAUCCUCAGCACCACA